rnacentral:lncRNA from 1 species
AACAAUUUCCCACCUGGGCUACGCACAUACACAUACUAAUUAACUUAUAAUUACAUGCUUUACUAGAACUACAAAAUGUGCAAUUGUAUACAAUCGUAAUAAGUAAUAAAGUGAUAAGUAUAUCGAGUUAUCGUCUCCAUAAGGACUGUACAAGAAAAUAUUUAUGAAAUAUUGACUUAAGUAAAUUUGGGCAAGAGAUGGAUGGUUUUGGGCUGCUCCUUGGGCUCAUGCUUCUUCCUUCCUCAAUUGGUCCUUCCUUUCACAUCAGGCUGUCUAAAUUUAUAGACCCAAUUAUUAAUCGAAUCAAACUAAUUGUUUAGAGAGUCCAAAUAUGUUAAUAUGGGACAUUCAUGGCUGUAAAUUCAUCAAAUAAUGCUUUAGAGAUGCUCUAGCAAUUUAAUCUUCCCAAGGUGACUUCAAGGCUGAUUUUACUUCCAUUACACAAAACUACUAAAAAUAGGCAGAAUUCCAUAAGUUUAAUAUUAAAAGCUAAAAAUCAAGAUGUGUCUUAAAUCAUAUCCAACUUAGUUAUUUUACAAUGAAAGCACAAAAUCCAAUAAAAAAUAGUUAGAAUUUUCAUGAAUUAAUGCCUGAAGGUGCUGAAAAGUUUAUAUAUUUUAGUGCUUCUACACCCCUAAACUUAAUUCAUUGCUCAUCCCGAGGAAUGCUUGACUUACGAAGAAUUCAAGAAAAUAACCUUUCAAAAAUCAAUCCUUCCCAUAAUUAUGAGUUUAAUACAAUUAUGCUCAAGAAUAAAAAUUCUAUAAUUAUGCAACUCAAGUGUACAUAUCAUUUAAUUAUUCUCAAAUAUUAUCAUGAUAGCAAAAAUAUAGACCACAUGCUUUCUCUUAAUAAUUAUGUACUUAGUUUAUUCCAAUAAACUUUUGCUCCCUUAAUUUAAACUAAGUUGCACUCCUUAAGUUUAAUUAUGCCUUCUUAAGUUGAGCUUAGAAAUAUCUCUCCACUAAUGUAGUUGGCAUAGAAAUCUAAAUCAAUAGGUCAUUAAUAUGGUUGUAACGUGGCUUGGCUAGAGGUAGGUAAAAGAUAGAUAAUGUAGGCUAAAACCCUAGACUUAGCUUGCCUUGAACCUUCGAAAUACAAAUGCCCCAAAAUCACCUGCUACUUUUGAAUUUGAGUACACAUGCUCUCUGUACAUCUUUAUUUUUUAGUACAUAUGUUAUCUCUCUCUUUUUUUUAACAAACUUGAGCAUACUACUACAUGCACUUCAACAUUUUGAGCCUUUAGUACCACUUCUUAAUUCCCCCAAGCUAAUUCUAUAAAUAUUCUAAAUAAACUGAGUCUAGUGUUUGGGAAAAUUUAAAGAUAAAUAUUGCUUAUUAAUAUAAGAUCCAGAAAAAAAUUAGGCCCUAUAGUCUCAAAGUUGAGUUUCAAUGGAUAAAUAUUCAUUAAGGUUGGCUUGGAAGGUUCAGAUGGUCCAUUUUUUUUUUUUUGCAUAAAUCAUUUUCAAAUUAUCAUGCCUCCUAGGAUUUUGCCUCAAGAAAUUACUAAGUCAAUUCUAGAGACUUAAACUUUCAUGCAUGCUUAGUUUUUCUAAGAAAUUAAAUUUUUCAUGGCUUAACUUAUACAUUUUUAUUAAGACCAACAUUUAUGUCAUAAUUUAGCUAACAUAAAAAUUAUUGAGAUAAUAGAAUUUUAUUUAUAUUAAAUUUUAACAUAACUAAACAAAAUUUUAAAUUUUUUGAACAAAAAUUUAACUUAAUAAUUUGAUAAGAAAAAUAACUUUUUGAAGAAAAAAGAAAAAUUCAAUUUUUGGUCCCCUCUCUUAAAAAUAAAUAAUGUCCUCAUUGUUUGAAAUUAAAAAAGUGAAUGUGAACUAUACACCAGGUAGGAUCCCAGGAAAGGGGGGUGAGUCAAAUUUGACUGCUUAAAUACCAAGCCUUUCCUUAACAGAUCCAAUCUUAAACAUGUAUUGAUGAAUGCCAAAAGUAACAUGUUUUAGCCUCACUGCUAAUGCGUUUUUGGAUGAUUAUUUGAUUUAAAAUGCUGAAUUUUAUGCUUCAAAUCCUUUAAAUUCAUGUUUCUAUACUUAGGAAAGUAUUUUGGAGCAAAAGGAGCAAAUAACAAGCGAAAAUAAAAAAUCGGAGCAAGUUUCAGGAGCCACAUGGGCUGGGCCAUUCCACACAGGCUAGACACAUGGCUAUGUGCCAGAUCUUGUGGAAAUCACAUAUUGCACUCCAAACAUGUAGAAAAAUGCAAUUUUUAGGUUCUUUGGGCAUUCUAAGACCUAUAUAUGACAAAGAUAAGAAGAGAGAAGAGAGCCUUCAUAGGAUACUAAAGAAAACAAAUCAAAAAACACCAUUGAAGUCAACCCUGAAGUUGAUUUUCAUCAAGAUUGAGAUCUCCUCUUAAUUCCUUUGAAGUUUAUUAUGGGUUUUUUUUCUUUCUUGUGGUUAUACUGUAUUUUUGAUGUUUUUAUUUGCGAUUAUAAACUAAUUUUCUAAAUACUUAGGGGAGAUGAGCCCUAUGAUAAUUAUGUUUUUUGAUUUCUAUUUUAUGCAAUAAAUGCUUGAAUCUUGUUUCCAAUUAUGUGUGCUUAAUUCUUGGUUUAAUAUUUCCAGACUAUUAAUCCAUAUUUGAUAUGCUUAAGUCAGAGGGUGAAAAGUCCUUGUUUAAGAGUGAAUCUAGCAUAUUUAAGUGAAGUUGCAUGCAAUUAUAGAAAUAGGAUGACAUAAAUCUAUCAAAUUAGAGUAAAAUCUAAUAAGGGGAUCCAUAGAUCGAGUUAAUGCGACAAUAGGGGUUUUAAUUAGAAAGAAAUUUCAAUUAAUCAACCUAGAGUCAGUUGCUAUUACUCUUAAAAAAGAUAUUAGCAUAAUUUAGGCAUUCCUACGAAUCAAGAUACUAAGUGAAGAAAUUGUUUAAUCCAGUUUGAUACUGACAGAUAAAAUCUAGGUGGAUUCUUUCUUGGGUAUUGUUUCACUUCUUGGUUGUUAAUCAUUUGUUUUCCUAAUUCAUUUUUUGUCGUGUUCUUUAGUUAAUUAAUUUACUUAAUUUUAGUUUUAAUCAGUCUCUUUAAUUUUUCGGUUAAAUAAUAGAAAGACGGUAAUUACUAGUUCUUUUAGUCCUUGUGGGAACGAUAUCUUUACUCACCAUAACUAUACUAUUAAUUGAUAGGUGCACUUGCCAUUGUCAGAUUUUUAGUUGGUUUACGACUGCAAUCAAGUUUUUAGCACUGUUGUCGAGGUCUAAAAUAUUAGGAAAACUUUAUUUUUAUUAAUUUAACCAUUUUUAAUUUUAAUUUUAAUAUUUUUGUUUUUAAUUUAAUUGUUACAUUUUACUUCUUCUUUUGUUUAAUUUUGACAAGUUUUAGAGAUGGAUUAUGAUAAAAAUAAUCAGAAGCUCUUGAACGUCCUACUCCUCGGACUAUGAAUGAUUAUGCCAAGCCUACUCUGAUCGGGGUUGAAUCGAGUAUUUUCAGAUCGAUUGUUAAUGCAAAAAAUUUUGAGAUUAAGCUGAACACAAUUUGUAUGGUGCAGCAAUUUGUUCAGUUUGAAGGGUUGCAAGAUGAAGAUCCGAAUGCUCAUUUAACCAAUUUUCUAGAUAUUUGUGACACUUUCAAGAUUAAUAACAUUAUUGAUGGUGGCAUACAUUUACGGUUGUUCCUAUUCUCUUUGAGGAGCAAGGCAAAAUAGUGGUUAAAUUCAUUGCCACGAGGUUCUAUCACAACUUGGGAUCAGAUUAUCGAGAAUUUUCUGUUGAAGUACUUCCCACCGCUAAAACAACUAAGUUGAGAAAUGAUAUUUCUUCUUGUACUCAAAUUGAUUUGGAGACAUUAUAUGAUGCAUGGGAGAGAUUUAGGGAUCUUUUGAGAAUGUGUCCUCAUCAUGAAUUACAUUUGUGGUUGCAAGUUAAAACUUUCUACAACGGUUUGAAUCUCUCGACUAGGCAAUUAAUUGAUGCAGUAGUUGGUGGAACACUGAAUAAUAAAAAACUCUAGAUAGCUCAAGAAUUCAUUGAGGAAAUGACACUAGAUAACUAUUAGUGGCAAGUCAUGAGAAUGAAAACGAAUAAAGCAACCGGUGUUUUUAAUAUUGAUGCAGUUUCUAUAUUAGCAAAUUAGGUUGAAACUCUUGGUAAGAAAUUUGAUGGUUUGAAUUUUUCUAAGCAGGUGAACCUAGUAAUGCAAUACGAUGAGAAUGGAGCGGGGAUGAUUAAUUCAGAAUGGUUACGCUUCGGUUCUAGCAUGGAGCAUGAGCAAGUCAACUUUAUGGGUAACAAUUCUAGGCCUCAAAAUAACCUUUAUAGCAACAACUAUAAUGCAGGUUGGAGGAACUAUCCAAAUUUCUCUUGGGGUGGUCAAGGAAAUCAAAGGUCACAACGCUUUGGAUUUUCAGCAACCUUAUCAUCAAGAGAAUAAAUUGAACCUUAAGGAAAUGUUGGCUAAAUUUAUUUCGAUGUUAGAAACUCGAUUUCAAAACACUGAAACAACACUAAAAAAUCAACAAGCAUCAAUUCAUGGGCUUGAAAAUCAAAUUGGACAGCUUGUUAAACUUGUUUCAGAAAUACCACAAGGUAGCUUACUUAGCAAAUUGAAACUAACCUAGAAGAAGAAAUCCAUGCAAUCAUUGUUCGCAAUGUGUAACGCCCCAAAUUUCUUAUGUCAGCUUCUGUAAAAAUUUUGACACAACUGUGCAUCUGCUUCAGUGGUUAAGUGUUCUGGAUGUGUGUGAGAGGUCUUGGGUUCAAGCCUUACCUUUAGCAAAUUUUGUUAUUUUUUUUUAAAAUUAGGCCUUACUCUUGGUAAGUGGUUUUAUUUUUAAUUGUUGCUAUUGGGUGUCAGAAUGGACAUGCUAUCGAUGUAAGCCAAAAAACACUGUAUGAGCCACACGGGCUAGGCCAGAUUGGACGUGUAGGCCCAUAUGGGCACACCACACGGACGUGUGAUAACUGGGCAAGGCCAAUCUGGGCGUGUGGGCCCAUUAGACUGAAAUUUUUCGUUGGGUCACACUGGUCAUCGUAAUCGACUGUGGGCCUAUCGUAGGGUUGGUAAAUGCAAUCUAACCUUAUAACCAAAUGAUUUAUUAGACUGAAAUAUGUUUAUGAGCAUGCCUAUGUUUGUUUAUCUGUUAUCUAUUUAUGAAAGCAUGUUAACCAUGAUUUAUCUGUUAAUUUUGUAUGCGUGUUCUGUUACUGAAUUGGGGUGGGAUGAUGUAUAUAGGAGGAAGUGUUCUGAAAGGUAGAAUAUGCCUAAUAUCUGGCAGCUCGGCUGCAUUAUAUCUGAUAUGUGUCGUAUCGGUACAGCGUGGUGUGUAAGGUUGAGUGGGUGUUUUAAACCCCACAUAGUGGUAGGGAUGGUCGGAGAUGGUGUGUAAAAGAUGGCGGUAGGAUUCUGAUAUCUAAUUUGCAUAUCUAUAACUGUGUCUGCAUCUGAAAUGGGCUCAGGCCCAAAUCUGUAUCUGCAUCUGACAUGGGCCCGUGCCCGAAUAUGAAUCUGUCUGAUUUGUGGUAUUCUGUAUGUGUACAUGUUUAACUCUGCUGGGUUACACACUGAGUUUACGUAAACUUACCCAUUUUCUGUUUGUCUGUGCAGGUAACCCACAAUAUUAUGUGGAUCGGUACAGCGGAGGACUUAAAAGUGACCACUUAUUUUUACGAUUUUAUUUUAUUUUAUGGUUAUGAAGUUUUGGCAUUGAGGUUGUAUUUUCUGGACUCUUUUAAAUUGUUUGACGUUGGCUUUGGAUUUUUGGUUUUUACUUAUUUACAACUAUGAUGGUUUACCAAAGGCAAAGGUUUUCUAAAAUCUUGAAUAGAUUUUCUAGACCCAAUGAUUUUACAAGCUUCCGCUACUAAUACGUUUUAUCUCUUAAUGAUUAAAUGAAAGAAAGCUUUGAAAUUAAUAAUAGCAAUAAAGGCUAAUGAACUGGAAAGGUUUUAACUUAACGAUAAUGGUUUUUCAACUCAUUUCAUGUGAGACUUUAGGAUUCGGCCAUAACGUCUAGGCCGAGUUUGGGUGUUACAUAUAGUGGUAUCAAAGCCAGGUUACAAAACUCGACUGUAGAAUUUGGGUUUUCGAAAUUUGGUUUUAAAAAAUUGGUUUUUUGAAUGAUUUUUAAAACUCUGGUGAAGUGUGAGGUAUACUGAGUCUCUGGCGCCGAUCCUGCAAGUAAUUUGAAACUUAGAUAGAUUAUUCUGAAAUAAUGAAUAUAGUUAUUUUAAAAACACUAUAGUUAGUACUCUCUGAAACUGUAGUGAAACGAAUAAAGACUGAAACUUACGAAAAUCUUACUGAACUUCUGAUAUUUAUUACAUAAAAUAUUUGCUUAUAAAAACUGAAACUGAUGCAUAAAAUUAUUAAUGUAGAUAAACUUAGAACUUACAAUGAGCGCACGAGGUAUCUGUGGACGUGGUACUCAAAGCUGAGGUAGAGGCCGUAAGGGAGCUCUAGCUGAGUCUUCACAUCUGGGCAGUACGCCGAAUCUGGACACUAGUGAGACACCUGUGUCACUUGCUACUGAGAUUAGGUCUCAGAGUUGUUCGGUUGGGGAUGACGUACUGUCUCAAGCCAUGCUGAGGAUAUUAGAGAGGGUCGCUAGACCUAAUUCUAGAUCUGGAGGACAAAGGGCAGUAACUGAGGGGCUCCAGUCUAAUGGAGCUGAGUUAUUUAGGGGUGUCACAAGAGUUGCCCCUAAUGUGGCUGAGUUGGAGGCCACUAAAAGGAUUAUGGAUGACUUAGACUGUACUCUCGAGUAGAAAUUGAAGAGUUCAGUCUUCUUGCUUCUCGAUGAGGCAUAUUAGUGGUAGUCGACUGUUAAGGAAGGCACUCAACCUGAUCGUCUGACUUGGGAAUUCUUUAAGACCACAUUCCAGAGCAAGUAUGUAGAAGCUAGCUACGUCGAUACUUGUAGGUGUGAGUUCCUAAACCUCACACAAGGUAAUCGAUCUGUGGUUGAGUAUGAGGUCAAAUUUUUAAGGCUGAGCCGCUACGCUCGAGGCGUGGUAGUGUCCGAGUAUGAAAGGUGUGUUAGGUUUAAGGACAGCCUAAGGGAUAAUCUAAGGGUUCUGAUUACUCCGUAGAGGGAGUGUAAGUUUUCUGUUUUGGCAGAGAAGGUAAAGAUUGUCGAGGAUGUUAAGCGCGCAGAGCUCCAAAAUAGAAAUAGGAAGAGAGAUAAGAACAAGAGGGAUUUGAAGCCCUCGUGUUCUGUGCAGCGGCCUAAGAAAAAGGCCAGAUUUGAUGGGCCAGUUAUAGUGUGAGGCCCUGUUGCCUCUACUAGGUUGCUGCCUUAUGAAAAUUAUGGGAGAUGCCAUCCGGGCGAAUGCUAGAGGAGGAUUGGGGCGUGUUUGAGGUUUGGGUUUUUUGAGCACUGUAUCAGGGAGUGUCUGCAGCAGGUAGAUUAGACGCAAGCUCCGGAUCAUGUACAACCGUCGAGGGUAGUUCAGCAGCCACCUAGGGGUCGUGGAGCAAUUAGGGUGGUAACGGUUUGGGCUGAGGGAAGAGAGCACCGGGCUGAGACUCUAAUUAGACAGAGGCGAUGUAGCCUACUUUGGUUUAUGCUGCAUAUCGCCUAGAGGACAGAGAUACUCCUGACGUCAUCACUAGUACAUUUCUUGUAUUUGAUUAACCUUACUUUUCUCUGGUAGACAUAGGAUCUACUUAUUCCUAUAUGGUUUGUUCUAUUUCCGAAAAUUUGGGGCUAUCGAUUGAGAGUACUUCUAGUGAGGCUACUGUGAUAAGUCUGUUAGGGCAGUCAAUUUAGGUUAGUAAAUUGUAUAAGGAUGUCCUGUUAGAGGUGCAAGGGGAGAUAUUUCUGGCUAAUUUGAUGGAGCCUCUGUUUAGGGAGUUCGACCUAAUUCUGGGUAUGGACUGGUUGGUUAAACACCAAGUUAUUUUAGACUGUGUGGCUAAAAUAAUCGUUCUGAGGACUGAGGUGAUAGAGAAGUGAUGGUAAUCAGCGAGCAUCGAAAUUAUUUGUCUAACGUAAUCUCUGUGCUUAUGGCUGAGAAACUGGUCCAGAAAGGAUGUGAGGCAUACUUGACCUAUGUAAGUGUUUCAGAUUCUGGGGACUCUUCUAUUGGGAACAUCAGAACAGUAAAAGACUUUCUAGACGUCUUUCUUGAGGAGUUUAUAGGAUUACCACCGAAUUGAAAAGUGGAAUUUGGGAUUGAGCUUCUUCCGGAUACAACAUCGGUGUUCAUUGCUCGCUACCGUAUUGUACGGAAAGAGCUUACUGAGCUCAAGGCUCAACUACAAGAACUUCUAGACCAUGGCUUCAUCCGUUCUCGUGUCUCUGUGGGGAGCACUAGUACUGUUUGUUAAGAAGAAUGAUGAGACCAUGAGUAUGUACAUAGGUUAUCGGUAGUUGAACAAGCUGACCAUUAAGAAUAAGUAUCCACUUCUAAGGAUCGAUGACUUAUUCGAUCAAUUUCGAGGGGCUUCUGUGUUCUCUAAGAUCGAUCUCUGUUCAAGGUAUCAUUAGUUAGGGUUAAGGAGGCUGAUGUUCAUAAGACCGCAUUUAGGACUCGUUAUGGACAUUAAGAGUUCCUAGUUAUGCCUUUUGGUUUGACGAACGCUCCGGCUGUGUUCAUGGAUAUGAUGAAUCGAGUAUUUCAAUCCUAUCUGGAUUAGUUCGUCGUGGUAUUCAUUGAUGAUAUUCUGGUUUACUCUAAGAUCGAAGAUGAGCAUGACGUACAUCUUAUAGUAGUGCUUCAAGUUCUAUGUGAAAAGUAGCUCUGCUAAAUUCAGCAAGUACGAAUUCUGGCUACGUGAAAGUGACUUUUUUGGGGUACGUAGUUUCUACUGAAGGUAUUCAAGUUGAUCCUUGAAAGAUCAACGCUAUGUUGGAUUGGAAGCAACCCAAGAAUGUGUCUGAAAUCCGUAAUUUUUUGGGUCUGGCCGAUUAUUAUCGGUAUUUUGUGGAGGGUUUCUCCUUGAUCGUUGCUCCAUUGACUAAGCUACUGCGUAAGGGGGUUCCAUUUGUUUGGACAUGUUGAUACGUGAUAUUCGUGAUAGGUUUUAAAUAUUUAUAACAAAUUGUUCUUAAAACUAACUAUUAUCACGAUGAAGGCAAGUGUACCUAUCGAACAGUAGUAUAGCUUUAGCAAGACUGGUUUAUCGAACCCAAAGGAACUAAAAGUACUAGUAUUAACUUCCUUUUUAUUAUCUAGCCUAAGAAUAAUGAGGUUAGUUUUAACUAACUAAUUAACUAAACUGAGAAUUCAUAGAAAAUAAAAUUGGGGAAUUACUUUUGGAAAAACAAUUGAAUUAAGACAAUACCUAAGGAAAAAAUCCACCUAGACUUCACUUGUUAUUUGACUCUGAAUCGAAUGAUUUAUUCAUUCAACUUGUUCCAUAGAGAUCCCUAAGUUAUAUUAUUAUCUCUCUCGAGACUAACAACGUCUAACCCUAGUUUGAAUAAUUGAAAUCUCUUUCUAAUUAACGCCCUAGGGUUGCAUUAACUCGACCUAUGGAUCCCCUUAUUAGGUUUCACCCUAAUCCGGUAAAAUCUUGUCGCCCUAUCUCUAGGUGCACAACCAACUCCACUUAAUUAUGACAAAUUUACUCUUAGACAAGGUCUAUUCCUCCUCUGAAUAAGAGCUUAACUUGUAAUGCCCUAAUUUUCGGGAAUUCUGUGAAUGUUGGCAUAGGUUUAAUUAUGUCAGUGAGCCUCUAGAAGGCCCAAGCUUAAGAUAGAACCCGACAAUUUUAGUUAAUUUUUGUUCUAUAAGAAAAAGGGGGUGAAAUUAUGAAAUAGAACCUAUAUGAAAAUGUUUGAAAAUGCUAUCGGCUAAAUUGAAGUGGCCAAAUAAAUAGGAGUGCAAAAUAGGAGAAUUUACAUGACAAACCUCCCAUUUUACAUGAAGUGGCCAGCCAUCAUGUUGUUGUAGACAAUAUGAGCACUUGAUAUCCAUAAUUCAUGGUACAAAUUGAUAAUGGGUUAGGUAAAUGUUCCAUGAUAAUGGAUUAGGUAAAUAUUCCAUGAUAAUGGGUUAGGUAAAUGUUCCAUGAUAAUGGUUUAGGUAAAUGUUCCAUAAUGGGCAUUUCAUGUCUUUUGUAUUAAAGAAUUAAAUGGAUGAAAUAUGAAAUUUUAUUAAAAGAAAAAGGGGUGAAAAGAACAAAGUUUUGUUCAUCUUUGUUCAUCAUAGCCAAAAGUUAGAGAAGAGAAAGGAGAGGAGAAAGCUCUUGAAUGUUAGGUCACUUGGGGAAGAAAAUUGAAGGUAAGUUCAUGGUAGUUUGCUUCUAUCUUGAUGUUCAUGAGUUCUUCUUGAUUCUACCUUAACUCUUGAAGCAUAUUUUAGUUUUUAGUUGUGUUGUAAGCAUUUAGUCAUGAAUUAAAAUGAAGGAAAUGGUUGUUGUUUCAUGUUCUUUUGAUGAAAAAUGGAAGAUAUGUGAAGUUGAGCCAAACAAAUGAGCAUGCAUGUGCCUUAGAUGCUAAGGGGAAAAAUCGGCUAACCUGUUGUGCUUUAAAAUGAUGAAAUGGAGAUUAUACUUAAGUAAAAUCAUAGAUAUGUGAUGAUUGAUUGGUGAUAUACAUGUUUAAAUAACAUGCAUGCAAGGGAUGUGUGAAAGAGUGAUUUGGUAAUAAAUCUGCUUGGGACAACAGCAGUAACGUGAAUUUGGAAAAUCACCAUAAAUUGUGGGAGAUGAAUUAGAAGCUGAAUAAAUUAUGUAAUUAAAGCUUAUUGAGUCUAGUUUUAAAUGAAAUAAACAAGAACAUAUUUUUAAUUCUGUACAAUGAGAAAUUUGAUUUGUAAUGAAGAGUGGUCAGAUUAGUCAAACAGUGAAACAUGGGAAACUUUAAGAAAAAUAUAGUAUUGAUUGGCCAUACCAAAAAUUCUAAAAAUUUUAUGGAUAGAAGAUAUAUGAGUCUAUUUUCAGGGAAAAUUAAUGGCACUUGAUUUGGAGUUUUGUAGCUCCAGUUAUAAAUGAUUUAGUGACUGUUGCUCAGGAAGACAGCUUGCAGUGAAAUUAUGAUUAUGUGGUAAACAUUGACAAAUUUGUUAAUGAGUUGCAUAUUGAUUUCUUAUAAGCUUACUCUGAUCUGUAGGUGUGAUUGGCCGAAUAUUGUAAGGGGUUAAUACGUAGCUCGUAUUUGAAUAGUUAGAUUAACGUGUUAGUAAUUCAAUUGUAGGCAGUUCGUGUGUGGAUCUCGUCAGCAUAUCGUCGCAAACAUGUGUGUAACUGACACUCUCUCAUAGACUAGAUUGGCAAAAGUCGAAAAGCCGAAAUACCGAAAAGUCAGUAUUUUGGAAAUUUGCGAGUGUGCGAAUGCUCGUAAGAUAGUUGGGUUUGUAUAUUUGGUAAUCUAAAGUAAUAAACUGCAGUACGCGUGAUUUCGUACAUUUUGAUAAUUUGGGCUUAAUGGGCCAAAGAUCGGGUUCAUGGGCCAACGAGCCCAAUUCGGUAAGUAUGCGCGGUAAGUGUUCUGAUAGUACGUAAAUAGUUAGUAUAUGCAUGAAAACCCUAAAAGUAGCAAAAUUACUAUAAUACCCCUAUGUAUGGAAAAUUAUUGUUAUACCCCUAGGUGCAAAAUUACCAUUAUACCCCUAGGGUUAAUUUUGACUGAAAAGCAUGACGAUCUGAUUCUGUAUAAUGUAUGUCAUGAUUAUAUAUCUGUUGCAUGGGGACAUGGAUUAUGUUAUGAAGGAAGCGUCCUGGUGGCUAUGCCACAAUUAUCUGAUCUGGUGGCUCUGCCACAUAUAUUUGUUCUAGUGGCUAUGCCAUGAUUAUCUGAUCUGGUGGCUCUGCCACAUAUAUCUGUUCUGGUGGCUAUGCCACGAUUAUCUGAUCUGGUGGCUCUGCCACAUAUAUCUGUUCUGGUGGCUCUGCCACAAUAUCUGUAUCUGGUGACUUCGUCACAAUAUCUGGCAGCCUCGCUGCGAUUUCUAUAGUGUGUAGCGGUUGGGUGGGUCGAGUAGUCUCCUCACAUGGUGUAAGGCUGGUACGGGGGUGUUAUGGAUGAAUUUGGGUUGGGUUGGGUUUCUGCAUAAACAUGUAAUAUCUGUUCUGUUCUGUUAUGGGCCUAUGGGCUUUAUUUUGAAUUUCUGUUUUGGGCUAAGGCCAACUUAUUCUAUUUCUGUGGUUUGAGCUGAUAUAGGCUAUGGUUGGGUUAAUUUACACACUGAGUUUCCCCAAACUCACCCCUUUUAUUUUUAUCCACGCAAGUAAUCCCCAACCAUAGUGGGCUUGGAGCUGUGAGGGAAUUCGGAGUGGCCACCCGUUCUGAAAGUUUGAUUUUCUUCUGGUGAAUUGGACAUCCUUUUAUUUAUGUUUAAAGUUUUGAGUUUUUAAAUGUAAUAAGACCGCUUAAUUAUUUUUGAUGGUUUUAAUAUGUAUUACUAAGAUAGGUAUUACUUAUUUUAACUGUUGAAAUUGGAUAGCUUUAGGGCGCGUUUUCAAAAACAAUUGAUUUCAAAAUAACACGACAACAAGCAAAGCUUCCGCAAUGAAAGUAUUUUCCAAAAUUAAUCACUUUUCCUAAAAAGAACAUAAUCAAAUCGGUUUCCUAGAAAUAUCUAUGACGUUAAGGUGUGGCAAUAGCGGUAUGCAUGUCUAGGAUUGGAUCCGAAGGGAGCUUGGUACUUAAGCAGUCCGAUGGACUCACCACCUCUUUUCCGAUUUUCUACCUGGUGCACAGCUUCCAUUCACUUUAACCUAUAAUGAAAUUACCUUUUAAAACACUAAGUUUUUCUGGAUCAACAAUAUAAAAUGUUUUGAACGUUUCGAUGUGGCAUGUCGGAUCCGGUCAUAAUGUCUGGGUCGGGUUUGGGGUGCUACAUAACUUGAAUCAAUAUCCUGGACUAUCAAAACAAGAAUUAAGAACACACAAUUAAGAACAAGUCAAAUAUUUAUGAUACAAUUCAGAUAAUAAUAACAAGAUCCGUCUUAGGCUUCAUCCCCCUUAGGUAUUUAGGGGUUUUAGUUCAUAACUAAAAAGGUAAACAUCUCAGAAGAAUAAUUAAUACAAAACAUAAAGAAAAACCCAAAACUCCUGAAGGGAAAUUGAGGGGAGAUUUUCAGUCUUGAUGAUGAAUCCGACUUUUAAGAUGGAUCAAUCGGCUUUCCUUGAGUAGUUCCCUGCUUCCUCCUCUAUGGCCCCUUUUCCCUCAUCCUCUAGGGUAUAUUUAUAAGCUUUAGAAUGCCUAAGAACCCUCAAAAUUGGCCUUUUCCAAAUUGGACUAAACUUGGGCUCGGCAGGGACACGCCCUGUGCAAUUACUUCAGGCCGUGGUCAAACCUGUUAAAUAGACAUGGGCGUGUGGUCUACCCGUGUGAGUUGUGCUUCGAUUCUAGCAAAUUGACACGGCCGUGUGGUCUGCCUGUGUGAGGAAGCCUGGGCCGUGUUGAUUUUGUACGUUGGCCUAUUUUCUCCAUUUUUAGCUCGUUUCUCGUUCCUUUCACUGUCCUAUGCUCACUUAAGUAAAAAACAUGAAUUUAAGGCAUUAGGAGCAUCGAAUUCACCAAUUUUAAGGAAAAAUCAUCCAUAAAAUGUACUAAGCAUGGGAUAAAAAUAUGUAUGAAUUACGGUUUAUCACAUAUGCACAACAAUCGAGCUUCGAGAAGCUCAGGACUGUUUUGACUCAAGCUCCUGUUCUAAUAUAGCCUGAAUUUGGUGAGGAGUUUGUGGUAUACAGUGAUGCAUCACAUGUUGGUUUGGGAUGUGUGUUGAUGCAGGAGGGGAAAGUUGUGGCCUAUGCAUCCCGAAUGCUUAAGAUGCAUGAGGCAAAUUAUCCGACGCAUGAUCUCGUACUGUCUGUGGUGGUUUUUGCAUUAAAGAUCUAUAGACAGUAUCUGUACGAGGAGAGGUGUAUUGUCUACACUGAUCAAAAGAGCUUCAAGUACCUCUUUACUUAGAAAGAGUUGAAUCUUAAGCAGCACCGUUGGAUUGAGUUGCUCAAAGAUUAUGACUACAUAAUAGAGUAUCACCCUGGUAAGGCCAAUGUAAUGACUAAUGCUCUAAGUCGUAGAGCGAUGUUCGCUCGCCUUAGUUUGUUUGAUUAUGGGGGUCUGUUAGCUGAGUUGCAAGUUAAGCCAACUUGGAUUGAUUAGAUUCAAGUUAAGCAGUUGGAGGAUGAGUCUCUGGGUGUGCAGUUUCGACAGAUUGAGAGUGGUGGUACUUUAGAUUUUGGGCUGAAUAAAGAUAUAUGUUUCCGAGGUUGAAUUUAUGUGCCAAAGGAUGUGGAUUUGAGGUAGUCGAUAUUGAGGGAGGCGCAUAGUAGUCCUUAUGCUAUGCAUCCUGGCAGUAAUAAGAUGUAUCACGACCUUUGCAAGUUGUAGUGGUGGCCCAGUUUGAAGCAUGAGGUUAUUGACUUCGUGGCUCGAUGUCUGACGUGCCAACAGGUUAAGGCUAAGCACCAGUUACCUUUGGCUUUAUUGCAGCCAGUCAAGAUUCCCUUAUGGAAAUUGGAACGUGUGAUGAUGGACUUUGUUAGUGGGUUUCCCUUAACACCCACUAGGAAGAAUUCUGUUUGGGUCAUCGUGGAUCAGUUGACCAAGUCUGCUCACUUCAUUCUAGUUCAGACGGACUUUUCUCUUCAGAAGUUGGCGAAGCUGUAUACCUCUGAGAUAGUUAGACUGCAUGGGGUUCUGGUAUCGAUUAUUUCCGACAGAGAUCCUCGUUUUACAUCAUGGUUCUAGAAGUUGCAUGAAGCUUUGGGUUCUAGAUUGGACUUUAGUACUGCGUUUCAUCCUCAUACAGAUGGCCAAUUCGAGAGGGUGAUUUAGAUUCUAGAGGAUAUGCUUAGGAGUUGUGUGAAUGAUUUCCACGGUAGUUGGGAGGAUUAUCUGCUGCUGGCUGAGUUCACCUAUAAUAAUAGUUUCCAGGCCAAUAUUCAGAUGACACCUUAUGAGGCUUUGUAUAGUCGUAAGUGUCGUACUCUAUUGUGUUGAAUUGAGUUAGGCGAAUGUCAAGUUUUGGGUCUUGAGUUGGUUUUCGAGAUGGAGGAUAAGGUUAAACUGAUUUGGGAUCGUCUGAAAACGGCUUCUGAUAGAUUUGAAGAGUUAUGAGAUUGAGUAUUCUGUGGAGGGCUUUGUAUUUCUUAAGGUUUCUCCAUGGAAGAAGAUAUUGAGGUUCGACCGUAAGGGUAAGCUAAUCCCUAGAUUUAUUGGGCCGUACCAAAUUUUGAAACGUGUGGGACCAGGUGCCUAUCAGUUGGAGUUACCCCUGAACUAGACCGUAUCCAUGAUGUUUUUCACGUUUCGAUGUUGAGACGGUACCAAUCUGACCCAUCUCAUAUUGUCUCGGUUGAAGAGAUUGAAGUUAGGCCAAACUUGACCUUUGAGAAGGGGUCGAUUCAAAUCUUAGAUCGAGAUGUUAAGGUUCUAUGGAAAAAGUCCAUUCCAUUAGUGAAGGUGUUGUGGUGGAAUUAUAGCACUAAGGAGGCCAUGUGAAAACCUGAGGACUCAAUGCAUCAGUAAUAUCAUCUAUUCUGAUCAGGUAAAUUUCAAGGUCGAAAGUUCUUUUAGAAGGUAAAUUUGUAAUGCCCCAAAUUUCUUAUGUCUACUUCUGUAAAAAUUUUGACACAAUUGUGUAUCUGCUUCGAUGGUUAAGUGUUCUAGGUGUGUGUGAGAAGUCUUAGGUUCAAGCCUUACCUUUAGCAAUUUUUGUUAUUUUUUUGGAAUUAGGCCUUACCCUUGGUGAGUGGGUUUAUUUUUAAUUGUUGCUAUUGGAUGUUAGAAUGGGCCUGCUGGUCUGGUGGUUAGGUGGAGUGUGGGUUUGCUGGAGGUCCUGUGUUUGAGUCUUUACGCAGGCGUGAUUGCUAAUAUUUUUUGCUCUAUUGGUUUGUACAGUUUCGAUUGAACGAUAAGUCUGAGUAGUGGUUGUUAGUGCGAUUAGUGAAGAGAUUUGAAGGAUGUGGAGUUAUGGGAAUUAUCCUUAUUGUUUUUUUCUUUUCUUUUUUUGAAAAUCUCUCUUUCUAAAGUUUUGUUUUCCUCAGCACUCCGCCGAAAUUCCUUUGAAACUUCUCUUUUUUCCUUUUCCUUUUGCUUCCCUAAGUCAUCUUUUCUUUUAGCAACGUGAAUUGCAAUGGUGAGGGUUUUGUGGAUACGUACUCCAGCGUAUACUUGCUGAGUUUCACAAACUCCCGCUCAUACUCUGUCACAGUCUUAUUACAUUGCUUCAACUCUAGGAAUUCCUUUCUUUUCUAGUCCAUAAACCUCUGGCUAAUGUACUUCUUUCGGAACUCUCCUUGGAAAAAUUCCCAAGUUACUCUUUCUUUCGGUAUUACAGACAUGAGAGUGCUCCACUACUGAUAAGUUGAGUAUCGUAGAAGUGAUACAGCACACUUCACGCAUUCUUCAGGUGUGCAUGACAGUUCAUCGAAUACCCUCAUGGUAUUCUCUAGCCAAAACUUCACUGUCUCUUGGUCAUCAUCUACACUAGCCCGAAAUUCCUCGGCCCCUUGCUUCUGGAUCUUGUCUACCGGAGGCUUCUCUCAUCUGAACACAUAUGCACCUUGCGGAGCCAUCGGGGCAUAUUGAGGAAUCGGAGGAGGUGGGGGAGGUGGAGUGUUCGGGUUCGCACGAACAGACUCCAUAUACCAAGCAUCUAUCAUUCGGAGGUAGGCUUCCCUAGCCUUUCUGUCUUGGCCCAUACUUAUGGGCUCACUCUCAAUCGACGCGGUCCCUUCUGCGGGAGCUGGUGCAUUACUUUCUACGUCAUCUACCGUGGUUCUAUCAGGACCAAUUACUAUAAUAAAAACAAUUUAUAAUCGUCAAGAAUCGUCACACUAUCAAUAUGCAUAUACGUGGCAUGUAUAGCUAGACUCGUACUCUCACUAGUUUAGUCCUAGAAUCGACUAAACCAUGCUCUGAUACCACCAAAUGUAACACCCCUCACCCGUAUCCGACACUAGGAUAGGGUUCGUGGUGCUACCUGACUUAAACUCAAUCAACUGUAUAAAACUGGGCCAUGAAAUUUCAAACAAUUUAAAAACUUCUCCUUUCACAAGCAACUAUCUCAUAUAUGGGCUUACGAGGCCCAAUCAUAAAUCCAGGGUUGUUUGCAACCCAACCGAGACCUCAUGAAAACUUAGAAAAUUUUUAUGCAUCAAGACUCUACACGCCCGUGUAGGUAUAGAACACACGACCAUGUGUCAGGGACACGCCCGUGUCUCGAACCCGUGUUUGAAAUCAUAAGCAUUCUGCCAAAACCACACAGCCCUCGAACACACCCGUGCCCUAUAAUCGUGUCCUUCACACGGUCGAUACACAUGACCGUGUCUCUUGUCCGUGUGCUACAAACAUGCAUACAGACUUUAUGACACGGCCUGAGUACACGCUAGUGUGGCCUACCCAUGUGCUAAAAUGAAUUUAAAAAAUUUAAGUGUAGGGGACGCACGGCCAUAACACACGCCCAUGGGUGUGAGCCAUGUGUCACACACGGCCUAGACACACGCCCGUAUGUCUUACCCGUGUGGACAAACUAGGCUAUUUCCCAAGCCCUUUUGUCACCCAUUUUACAAAACCUACACAAGAUCGAUUCAAUACAUAUAUCUCAUCACAAUGGGCACUAAUUCAUCCAUAGAAAUAACAUUAUAUGCAUUCAUCAAAAUGAAUAAUAGCCAUUAUUCCAGGCUUGAUUACAAAAUGAAGGGCCUUUGACUUAAGCCAAAAUACAUGAACUAUUCUCUUAAUACAACAUCCUAGUCUAGCCCUAUACAUGCCACCAUAAAAAAUAUAAAUCCAACUAUACCGGGUAUUGCGGCUGAUAGUGUGAUCGAUAUCUCUGACUUUAAGGGUGAUAAAUGCCAAAUUAUACAUAUUUUUACCCCAAAUACUUAGCAUAUUUAUGGAUGUUUAUUACUAGAUUUGUGAAUUUUGAUGCUCUUAAUCCAGUUAUUUCAUGUUUUGUACUCAAGAGAGCACCAAAAGUCAAAAGGAGCCAAAAACGAGUAAAAAAGGGACGAAACAGACCAAAUCGAGAAGAUGACACGGCCUAAGCCUUGCCACAUGGGCAGCUCACACGCCCGUGUCUUUUGAGGGUGUCGACCAAAGCUUUCAAGAUUCACACGGUUUGGCCAUUGACCCACACGGCUGUGUACAAUUUAACGGAUCGAACACGGCCUGAUAAUCACAUCACACAGUCGUGGCACACGGGCGUGUCCCUUUUUCAAGGAGCUGUAUUUUACACAGAAAAAGAUACUUAGGGAGGAAGAAAACCAAUCCAAAGCCUAUAUAAACACCCUAAGUAUGACUUAGAAAGGGGGUCCCCUUUAGAACUUUUUUGGAGUACAAAGCCACACGCCGAGAAUUACUUGAAGGAUGCCAGACGAUCCAUCCCAAAAGCUGGAGCUACUCCAAGACUGAAGAUCUCUCUCAGAAUUCCUUCAGGGGUUUUAGAGUUUUUUUAUGUUUUGUUAUUUUCAUACUUUUGAGAUGUACUCUUAUUUUAUUAUGAACUAAACCCCUUAGAUACCUAAGGGGGUUGAAACCUAUGAUGGAUCUUGUUAUUAUUAUCUGAACUGUCUGAUAAAUACUUGAUUUGUUCUUAAUUAUGUGUCCUUAAUGCUUGAGUUAAUAUUUCGGGUAUUGAUUCGUGAUUUGAUGUGCUUAUGCAGAGGAGCAAAAGUCCCUGUCUAAGGUAGAUUUGGCAUAAUUAAGCGGAGUUGAUCGAACGCCUAAAAAUAGGGUUACAAGAUUUUACCGGAUUAGGGUGAAACCUAAUAUGGGAGUCCAUAGAUCGAUUUACUGCUUCCCUAGGGGUUUUAAUUAAAAAAGAGAUUUCAAUUGAUUCAACUGAGGGUUAGACAUUAUUAGUCUCGAAAGAGAUAAUAAUAUAGGUUAGGGAGUCUCACGGAUCAAGUGAAGUGAAUAAAUCGUCUUGUUCAGAGUCAGAUAAUAAGUGAAAUUUAAGUGGAUUCCUUCUUGGGUUUCUUUAUCAAUUACUUUUCUUCAAGUCUUUUUCCAAAUUUUCUCUUUGCUUUAGUUUAAUUAGUUAAUUAUUUUAGUUAAUUAGUUUAAUAAACAACCCCUCUUUAUUUCUAGGUUAACUAAUAAAAAAGAUAGUUAUUACUAGUACUUUUGGUUCCCUUGGGUAAGAUAUCCCAGUCUUGCCAUACUAUAAUAUUGUUUGAUAGGUGCGCUUGACUUUUCGUCGUGAUAAUAAUUAGUCUAGGUUUGAUCUUCAUUAUAAAUAUUUAUUACUUGUUACGAAUCACGCGAUCAAAGGAUCCUUAAGUUAGCUUGAUAACACUGAAAGAAGAGGGAAAUGAAAGAGGGUAAGCGUAAAGCUUAAUAAGUAGCAUAUAAAUAAAUAUACAACAACAAUCUCACCAUUAGUCAUCGUACUUAUAGCUCAAAGGUAAACAUAAUUUAACUUAUUCAUUAUCAUCUACUCGAGUCACAUUCUCUAAAUUAAGCUCGUUACUCAUGCUUACCAUAUAGGUACCUGUACCAUUCACAACAUGAUUAUUCUUUCUUUAUCAAAAUUGAUCUACAACUCUCAUCAUUGAAACGUUUGGAAUACUACUGGAUAUUCUAUGAACCUUCAACAUGGGAUAUAUUACCGAUACCAUGUCUCAGGCAUGGUCUUGCACUAGCACUCAUCUUUGUGCCGAUGCCAUGUCCCAGACAUGGUCUUACAUUGGCUAUCAUAGUAUGGCUGAUACAUGUCCCAGACAUGUCUUACACUAGCCCUCGUCUGGAUGUCGAUGCUAUGUCCUAGACAUGGUCUUACACUGGCUCUCAUAAUAUGGCCGAAGCAUGUCCUAGACAUGUCUUACACUGGCGCACAAAUCACCCAAUGCCUCGGCACGAAUAUCCAGUUCGUAUUCUAAUGUUUCAACGGGAUAUUUCUAUUAUCUCAAUUAUUCCUAGGCAUUCUCAAUUCAUAACUUGACAACUCAUACAAUAUCAAUUCAAUGGCGAUAUGAAUACAAGUAUUAACAGUGUAGUUGUAUCAUUUACAUACAACUUACCUCGGUUCACAAAAAGUACUCGACUAUUCGGUUUAGUCGGUUUGCUUGGCAUUCCCCCGAUCUAGGUUCAGAUUUGGUAAUUCUUGAUCUAUAAUGAUAAUAUGCACUCAUUUAGUCACUAAUUAGGAUUAAUAAAUCAGAAAUUUACAUAUUUGGUAAAAUGACCAUUUUUCCUCUAGACUUUAGCAAAAUGACCAUUUUACCCCUAUGCCCGAAAAUCUAUUUUCAUCGAAUUUCGUUGUAUCUUAGGCCUAAUCGAACUAUUUUUACUAUUAUAGCAACUUCAAAUUAUCACUAUUUCACAUACUUAUUAACUAUUUUACAACUUAUGCAAAAUAGCCCCUUUAGGUGUUUUCAUGCUAACACCUUUUACAAAAGUUGUUUAUAACACAACUAGGACUCAUAUUCCUCCAUAAAAACUCAAUAAAAAUUACAAAUCCUUUCAUGGCAACACUCUAAACUCUCGAACAUUUUGCAAGAUAUCACCCUCAUUUGAAAACUCAUGCUUUAAAGGUAUCAAAAAUGCAAAAAUCAUCAACAAAGGGUGUGUGAAUCACUUACUUGUGAGGGCUUUUAGUUGCUAAAAAUUUUUAGCCUUCAAAACUCUAUUUUUAUUGAUAUUUUUGGUGGAGAAGAGAGAUGGAGAAGAAAGAAAUGAUAGCUAGGCUUUUAGGCAUUAUUUUAUCAGUAAAUCAUGACAUCAUCCACCUAACCCUUUGACUAUUUGCUUAAAACCCAUCACAUGGCCGGCCAACACUAAUAAAAAGGAUGUAAUUUCCCUUUAAAAGCCCUAAAUUUAAGUUCUUUAGCUAUUUAACUCAUUUGGGUACUAAAAUGUAACUUUUUCCUUUUAUCCGAUUUAGUCCUUUUUCGAAAUUGGGCUAGAAAACAUUAAAAUUAGCUCACCAAAUUUUUCAUGCACUAAUAAAAUCAUACUAUAACCUCAUAAAAAUAAUAAAAUAAUUUUUUUCUAACUUCGUAUUUGUGGUCCUUAGACCACUGUUCCUAUUAGGCCCUAAAUCAGGCUGUUACAGUAUGGGCCACAUGGUCACGUUACAUGGGCAUGUGAUAACUGGGCCAAGUCGUGUAAUCCACACGGGCAAGGUCAAUCUGGGCGUGUGGGCCACACGGAUGUGUGGGUCCACAAGGGCAACCCGCACGAGCAUGUGGACCUAUUGUACUGAAAUUUUUUGUAGGGCCGCACAGGUCGUCCUAAUCGACUGUGGGCCUACCAUAAGGUCGGUAAAUGCAAUCUAACCCUAUAACGAAAUAAUCUAUUAGCCUGAAAUAUGGUUAUGAGCCUGCCUAUGUUUGUUUAUCAGUUAUCUGUUUAUGAAAGCUGUUAAGCAUGAUUUAUCUGUUAAUUCUGUAUGGGAGUUCUGUUACUGUAAUUGGGGUGGGAUGAUGCAUAUUGGAGAAAGUGUUCUGAAAGGCAGAGUAUGCCUAAUAUUUGGCAGCUCAGCUGCAUUAUAUCUAAUAUGUGCUGCUUUGGUAUAGCGUGGUAUGUAGGGAUGGGUAGGUGUUUUAAACCCCACAUGGUAUGUAGGGAUGGUCGGAGAUGGUGUGUAGAGGAUGAGGGUAGGAUUUUGAUAUGUAAUUUGCAUAUCUAUAACUGUAUCUACAUCUGAAAUGGGCUCAGGCUCGAAUAUGUAUCUGCAUCUUACAUGGGCCCAAGCCUGAAUAUUAAUCUAUCUGAUUUGUGGUAUUCUGUAUGUGUACAUGCUUAACUCUACUGGGUUACACAUUGAGUUUAUGUAAACUCACCCCUUCUCUAUUUGUUUGUAUAGGUAACCCACAGUCUUAGGCAGAUCGGUGCAACAGAGGACUCGACGGUGACCAUCUAUUUUUACGAUUUUAUUUUAUUUUAUGGUUAUGAAGUUUUGACAUUGAGGUUGUAUUUUUUGAACUCUUUUAAACUAUUUGAUGCUGGUUUUGGGUGGUUUUUACUUAUGUACAACUAUGAUGGUUUACCAAUGGCAAGGGUUUUCUAAAAUCUUGAACGGAUUUUCUAGACACAACGAUUUUACAAGCUUCUGCUACAAAUACGUUUUAUCUUUGAAUAAUUAAAUGAAAGAAAGCUUUGAAAUUAAUAAUAGCAAUAAAGACUAAUGAACUGGAAAGGUUUUAACUUAAUGACAAUGGUUUUUCAACCAUUUCAUGUGACACUUCCAAAUUCAGUUAUAACAUCUAGGUCGAGUUUGGGGUGUUACAAAACAUGGAAGGGUUAGUUAUGCUUGAAAAGAAGUCAAAGCUAGAAGUUACUAUAAAAAGUGAUGAGAUUGAGGAAAGUAAGAAAAAGCAUAAGCCAGUAAUUAAAGACUACAAACCACUAUAUCCAGCAGCAUUGAAGAGAGACCACAGAAAAGAACUAUAUGGUAUAUUUCUUAAACUUCUAAAAAAACUGCACAUUAACUUACCAUUUGUUGAAGCUAUUUAACAAAUGCCAAAGUAUGCAAAAUUUUUAAAGGAGCUAUUAACAAAUAAAACGAAGUUAGAUGAAUUAUCGACUAUGAAGCUCAAUGCAGUUUGCUCAGUCAUUCUCCUAAACAAACUACCCAACAAACUUAAAGAUCCAAGGAGUUUUAUUAUUCCAUGUCUCAUUGGUAGUUUAAAUGUUGAAAAAGCUUUGGCUGAUUUGGGGGAUAGUAUAAAUUCUAUGCCUUAUAAGAUGUUCAAACAACUUGGUCUUGGAGAACUUAAACCCAUUAGGAUGAGUAUUCAAUUAGUGGAUAGAUUAAUUAGAUAUCCUAGAGGUAUUAUUGAUGAUGUACUUAUAAAAGUCGAUAAAUUUAUAUUCCCUAUUGACUUUGUUGUAUUGGACAUGGAUGAGGAUAUUAAGGUACCUAUGAUCUUAGGUCGAGCUUUUUUAGCCACUACUAGAACUAUUAUUGAUGUGGCUACUGGUGAACUUGUGCUUUGCGUAGGUGAUGAAAAAAUUUCUUUUCAAGCACGUGAUUUUAUGAGAGUCCCUAGUAAGCGAGAUGAUACUCAUUGUUCUGUUAAUGUUAGUAAUCAUGAGGCUCAACGUUCUUUGUAGGAAAUCCCUAAUGAAAACACAUUGGAGCCAUAUUUUAUUCAAAGUGAUAUGUAACACCCUAAAAUAGGGCCUAAGAGUUUUAUGGGUAAUUUAGGAAUUUUAGCCUUAGACUAUUCAGAAUUUUAUGACCUGGUAUAUCGGUAAUGUUUUCGAAAAAUGACUAAUUUGUAAUAAGGCUGAAAUUGUGAGCAUUUAUGCUGUAGUUUUACCAAAUUUUAAAUUUGAACCUAAAAACCCAACAUACUUGUUUUCACGUUUUUUUUCUCUUCUUAGGUUGCUUGUGCUGUCCUUUGCUCUUCCAAUCUCCCACCUUUGAUUUUCCUUGUUAAAUUUUCAUUCUUUUGAUUUCCAUCAUCAUCCAAGUCUUUAAUCUUCAUAAUACUUCAAGAAAACACUCCAAAAUUCCAUUAAUUUAUUUAUCUUCUUCACUUGUAGGUUUUUCAGAUUUGCAUCAAAAUCUCAUUUAUUCUUCUAUCAAAGGUAACCAUUCACGUUCUUAAUAGUUUUUAAUGUUAUUAGGCCUUUGAAACCAGGUAUGGAGUUAUGAAAUUGCAUAUUUUAAAUAAAAGCCAAAAAUAAAGUUGUUAAUGGUGAAUUUUAGAUUUUCGAGUAAAAAUAUGAUUUCAAAGUGUUAAUCAAUAGGUUUUGACAUGAUUAAGAGAUUUCAAAACUUGUUUUGAAGUUUCAUUAAAAAUUUCUUGAGUUUUAAUGAAUUUUAAAAAAAUAGCCAUAAACAUGUUGAAAAAGUCGAUACCACGAACUGAGUAGAUUAAUGUAGUUUAAAGGUUGAGAAUUAGACGUAGGUGAAUUAUAAGAUGAACAGAAUUGGUUUUAUGCGAAAAGACUGUGUAUAGACCUAGAUAUUCGAAUUUAAAGUUUACUAUGUUAAAGUUUUCAGUUACAUGAAAACUUAGUUUAGGUUUAUAUUUUUGAUUGUUUUUGGUGAGUCAUUAGCUGAUUUUUGAAUGUAUUGUUGUGUGAAUUAUUGUGUUGAAGCUUCGGAUUCGCUAAGACCAUUUACGAGUUAGGAAAGGCUAGUUUGAACUUUUGGCUUUUCGGUGAAAGCAUAUUGGUGUGUGUGGAGUAAUUGCUUGUGGCCCCAAUUCAAUGCAUUAAUUGAGAAUUUAGAAGUAGCCUAAACCCCUAUUCUAAAUUUCAAGUGUACAAUUUCUCGUACUCUUAAUUUAAUAUGUGCUUGUUGAUUGUAAAAUUGUGAAGUGAGAUAAGAUGUUAUAUUAUGUGAUAUGUGCUCAAGAUUACCUUUGAGAAAGUGUAAAUGUAAACAUGUUAUAUACGCUAGAUGACAGUGAUAAUGUUGUGUUAUAAUGUAAUAUUUACAGUGAAUAAGUGCAAUGAAUGGUAAGUACAUGUGUAUUAAUAACGGAUAUUUUGACCUUGUGAUUCUUAAGACCAUUGGACAUAGUUGGCAUGCCAUAAGAUUGUGAGUACUCACCUAUAUGUAUAUGUGAUUUUGGCGUUAAGGCCUUGAGAUAUGUUUGGAGAGAUAAGAAAAUGUGAGCUAAGCUCCAUUCAACGAUACAUGUUUGGUGCGUUGGAGAGUGUUAGCUUUAUGCAUUAACUUUUGGACACGUUUGACUCAAUGGGUCUUUGUGGUGUGUUGGGGAUCCAUAUAACCAUUGAGUUGUGAUAGUGCCCACUUUUAUAUUUAAUAGCUCAAGUGUCAAAUUAUCUAUACAUAUGUUUGUAUGUAUUGUGAUGUAUGCAUGAAUGUGUAUGUAGUGACUCCAUAAAUAAACUAUGGAAUAGGCAUGAGAAGUAAAAUAUGUCAACUAAGUUGAGGCUGCUAUAAUUAUGCUACUGAUAUGUUGUAGCAAUGUUUAAUGGACUGUUUGCAUGGUAGUUGUUCUAGGCAUUCAUUGAACUUGUUAAGCUCGUCCACCCGCUUCUUAAACCUUUGCAGAUUAGUUGUGUGCCAAUGUGGUUUUUACGGGGUGAUCCAACAAGUCCAUUUUUGUUUUUUUGUAGGUGUUAGUGUUAAUUAUUUACAUUUUAGGAAUAAGGCAUUGUGGUAGGCUUUUAUUGGUAUUUGUCAUGAUGUUUUUGGAUGCUUCCAUAAUCUAUUCGAUCUUAGGAUUAUGAGAUUUGUUUUGUAAUAUGUUGAUUAUAACUUGAACCUAAUUUUGAUUUUUGAAACUGUUGAUAUGGAUGAUUGGAUGUUUAUUUGGUAUAGUAAUGGAUGCAUGAUGAAUAAAUUUGAUGUUGGAAUGUUCAGUAGGCAUAUAUGUGUUGUAUUGUUGAGGUCUAAAAAAGAGGUAUCUAUAUUCGUGUGUUAAAACCGAUACCUCUAUAAUUUUUGAAAUGUGUAGGAAGUUAAAAUUAUAAAUUGGUAUCGAUACCAUAUCAUGAGUAUCGAUAUUCGGGGUAAAGUUAUCGAUACUUUUUGUAAGAUAUCGAUAAUUUUGAGUGGUUUAUUUUUGGGCGAGAAAUAAAUAUUGUUUUGGUAUCGAUACUGAAUGAAGGAAAUAUUGAUACCUAUGUGCCAAUAUCGAUACCUACGUACUAGAUUGGAAUUUUGCUAAGCGGCCCUUGUGUAUGUACAAAUGUCAUUAUGAGAUGCUUAAGGUUUGUUCAACAAGACUUAGUGGUAAUUAGGAGUAUGUUUCACUUAAAACUCAAGCAAAUGCUAAAAUGGAUGACAUUUCUUCUAGAAUGAGCUCUUAAUUGUUGUGAAUGACAUGAGAUGGUGGUAUGGCGUCCUGAUAUUCGGGCUCGACAACCGGAUAGGACUGAGCCAGGUAUUAGAGCUUAGGUUCAUUAGCACUUGAACCUAGGUGAUUGUUGAUGAGUGAAUGGUUAAAUGUUUUGUUACAUUAUAUUAAUUUGCUUGAAUGGUUAAUUAAGGUGCCAUUUGAGGCAUAUUGGUUAGUUAUUUAGGUGUUAUUGUUGUGUUAUGUUUGGUUGGUGAAUUUGGUAUAAAAUUAACUUUUAAAGGAUGAAAUUUUACCAUUUUUGAUGUUAGGUAUUGAUAUUUUGGCAUUUGGUAUAGAUACUUGACCAUAUGAAUAGUUUUAAAACAAGCACAAUGCCAAAAUGAUAUUGAUUUUUAUUUAAGUAUCAAUACUUUUUCAUAAAGUAUCGAUACCAUAAAAUAAAUAUCGAUACCUUAGUUUUUGGUAACAAACAAAUUCAUAAUCUAGUAUCAAUUUUUCAUAAUGUAUCGAUUCAAUAUCGAUACCAACUAUGAAAUAUUGAUAUCAACUUUAAGAAUUUUGAAAUUCUACUUUUCAAACCCAUUUCAUGUCUAGGCUAUUACAAAUAGAUCUUUAUUGAAUUCAAUUUUCUACGUUUGUAUAAUAGAUAAUUAAGUGAAUUAUUUGUAAACAUAUUAUUUAUGAAUUAAUCAUAAAAAAUUGAAUUAUUAAAUUAUAAAUUAUUUGUAUUAAAUAGUAUUGAUUCGUAACAUUCUAUUACUUGGUUCCGGCCACUAGAACGGGUGAAGGGUGUUACACCUUAAUAGCCUUUGCUUUCAUAAUUGAAUAUAACAAAACCAUCCGUUCCACAAAAAUUGUGGUGCUAUGUGACACAGACAUUAGACUAAAAUUUAAAAAAUAAAACCAUACCUUUGCUAAUGGGGUCAAAUUUUCUCUACGACAAGUAUGAUUUCCGCAUCUCGACACAGUCCAUUUAAACCCAGGAAUUGUAAGUUCACGUAAAAAUUCUUGCAACAUCUCCGUUUCAACAUUUAUCUAUAUCGAAGAACCAUCUUUAUCUUUGUAAUAAGGUAAAUAAUAAAAAUCAUUAAUUGAUUUUGAGUUUAAUGGUACCUUAAUACCUCGGACAAAGCUUCUAUUGCAUUAGUUGAGGUCAGAUUUGCAUAAAAUUCUCGAACUAACUCAAGAUCUAGGAUCGGUUUUUCAUCACAAAACGCUUCCCAAUUUAAUGCUUCAACUAUUUUCUGAACGUUUGCCAUGAAGUCACUGUGAUUACUUUCUCCCAAAUUAAAUCCUUUUUCCAUGAGUGUAAUGACCCAUUUUUGCCCGGGCUUACACUAGAACCAAAACCAAAAUAAAACAAAAAUAAAAAAACAAAAAUAAUUAGGUCCAAUGUCCCUGUUACAAGUCUAAUUAUUUAGCCCACAAUAACAUAAACCCCUAGCCCAAAUUCUGACCCAAAACAGAAAAAUAUUCAAGAAAUCCUAAGUUACCAAGUUUACACAAGCCAGAAGCUUCUGGAACGUGCCAGAACAACGUCAGGGGAUCGGGCUCCCAUGAGCAAUUCCGCAGAGUCUCCGAGCCUCAUCCACGAGUGUUCUUUUCCGUACAGUCGAACCUGCGAGAAGAAAAUAACAGAAAUAGGCCAGCAGAUGACAGCAAAUAUUAGAGUUUUCUCUAUUUUAUUUAUUUAUUCUGUAAAUCGGUUAUAAAAAGGUCGAAAAAAAUCAGUGUAAAGGGGGGAUUACGAAAAUGUUGAAUACAAAAUAAAAAAAAAUGAAGAUUCCACAAAAAUUAGAAGGUGAUAGUUUACUUUAUUUUAAUUUUUUGGUUUUAAAUCUCUGUUUUCAUUUUUUUUUCGUUUUUAAAAUACUUUUCUUGUAUGCGAAUAAAUAAAAAGGAAAAGAGAGAGGGGAGUUUACCUUCGAAAACGAGCCAUCGGAAUCCUUAUCUCCUUCGUCGAAAUCGAAGCCUGAGAUGGGAUUUUAGAGUGUUAAUCGGCCGAAUAGUGAAAGGGGAAAUUUCCUUUGUUUUUGAAGUGGCUAAGGUUUGGUCUUUGAGAAUCGGUUAAAAAAGGGGAAAAUUAGGGAUUGCUUUGAUUGCUUAAAGAAAAUGGCAGAUGGCCAUCCAAUUUCUUUUAGUUUUAAUGUUAAAAAAUGG